AUAACAAUACAGGACUCUUUAGAGGCCCUGUAAUUGUAUUGAGUCCACUUGAAAUCCUUUAACUUUGAUCAAUUGGAGGGCAAGUCUGGUGCAGAGCGACUGACCCGUGCGUGCUGCAGCUGAAAUUCCACUAUCACCUGCUUCUG